AUGCUACCUUCAUACGUGUCACUGGAGUUAACCUCUGAUGCUGUGAUGGCGCAGGAUCUGUCAAUCAUUUACCCCAGCUUCCAGAAGAUCAAUGGGAGUUGGUUUUGCAACAACACAGGGGAAGAAAUUCUUUGGGGACGUAGAACCAGGAAAAGCCGAGUCUUAACCCUGUAAAAGAAGCUAGAAGAGAUUUCAGCCUGCGAUGGAAACACUAUGCUCCGGCCUCCAUGGUUCCUCCGAAGUGGCUUCCUUGUGCCCCUGGUUUCUGCAGGAGUCAGGAGGAUGACCACCCCAGAGGACAGUAAGACUGUUCCCAUGUUGUUUUGUUGUUGUUUGUCAUUUCAUCUGUGCCAGAUAAUUCCCUGAGUGUACUGUGAUCAUCCACUGCAAUGUGUUUCCCCCAUUUUUCUACUGCCUGUGUGCCUCUCUCCCUCCUGGUGGACACGUGAUAUUUUAUUCCUUUGCCAUCCUGGCCCUUUGGAAAGCUUUCUGACCUUCCUCAUUUCAGUGUCACAUCAUUGGUUAGAUGUCUCCAUUAUCAUCCCUGGCAUACGACAGUGUGGUUAUUGUAUGUGACCAUCACAUGGACUUGUUCUGUUCAUCCCAGCUCAUCUUAUUUUUUUUUCCAAAAUCUGCCCCCCCUUUUUUGUAUUGGGUUCUUUCUUGC
rnacentral:lncRNA from 1 species